CACCACUCUUCGGUGUGAGAUAUGCCUAAGUGCACGCUUUGGUUUACACUAGGCCGAAGAAUGAUCUUUUGGCGAUUUUUUUCUCGUCAUUCUACUUGCGUAACAUUUCUUGCCAUCGUUAACAUCUUAUUUUUCCGCCAACCCUUUUCCUUAAUUCUCUGUCCCACUUAAUGUUCCCGUCUUUGUCUUUUCUGCACAAUGUCCUGUCAUUCUCUUUCCCGUUUAAUUUUCCCACCAACUCCUUAGCAUCAUUCUAUAAACCGCCCCCUUGUCUUUUGUCUUCUGCAUCUUUCUUUAAUAAUAUUUUCAGCCUUGUUCGGCAACAAUUUUUACGGUUUUACUUCACUGAUGUCUCAUUUGUUCUUGGUCAAUGACCUAGAAAGCAAAGGCUUAGUAAUGGAGGUGUGCGUUUUGAAGAUCAGUUAGUAGUGAUAGGCACCCGACGAAGUGUUUCUCUCGGCUUGGUCUCUCGAAGAAGUGCCUGGAUAGUAACCCAGAGGAAAUUCAACAAGAACUUUUCCAGUUUCAUACAAGGUGGGAUAGGUAGGAUUGUUGAAUUCAAACGUAUGAGCGCCCGCAUUACCUGUAGACCUUUACUUGUUGAUGAUCCAAAAAUAAACUACCAACAAAAGCAAUACGAGGACCACGUUAAGGACAGGGACUUGUUGAACAAGGAUAUCUUCAACUUUGGAUGGAUGAAGUCUAUCUGAGGUCAAUACCAGAGCUCAGAGUUUGGAGACAGAGUGGUACAUCAGCGAGGGGUGGUGCUAGCUCCAAGAAAGCGAUUGAAGACGACGAUGAUGAUUUUAUGCCAAGCAAAUGAGCUCACAACAGAGGCAAGGCCCCUGUUGCAUCUGAGAGGGUUCGUAGUAGUUGUAAAAAAGUGAAGAGCGCCGAUGAUGACUUUGUGCCAAAAAAGAAGGCGCCGAUGAUGACUUUAUGCCAAAAAAGAAGGCUCAGAACAAAUCCAAGACUUGUGCCAGCACGAAGAGUGGUAGAUCAAAUAAGAGCGUAGCAUCAUCGAAGGGUGCGAUGUUGAUUAUGAUUUCGCCAAUGAGUUUAUGCGAGGGAAACUAGUUCAGGACUCAGGUACCAUUUGGACGCAAUCGUGAAGACCCCUGGAAGCUACUUGUUAGCGAGAAUAAUGAUGAUGACUUCAUGUAGUUCUUACACUUCAUUGCAGAAGCAGUUAGUAGUGUCCAAUUCUAGUGUAGUGUGUUAUUCUAGUGUAGGAACAUUAUGUUGUAUCUUAAUUUCUUGUUGUGUUGUGUGGCAAUUUCUAUGAAACAUGAAAAUCAUUAUGUUUAAGAUUGUGCAAUUGUAACACAUGCAUAAAAGCAUAUCUCAUACAUA